rnacentral:rRNA from 1 species
AACAGCUCAAAUUUGAAAUCUGGCCCCUUGGGGGGUCCGAGUUGUAAUUUGUAGAGGAUGCUUCGGGCAAGGCCGCGGUCUAAUCCGCUUGGAACAGCGGGUCACAGAGGGUGAGAGUCCCGUCUAGGACCGCGCGCCGCGUCCAUGUGAAGCUCCUUCGACGAGUCGAGUUGUUUGGGAAUGCAGCUCUAAAUGGGUGGUAAAUUUCAUCUAAAGCUAAAUAUUGGCCAGAGACCGAUAGCGCACAAGUAGAGUGAUCGAAAGAUGAAAAGCACUUUGAAAAGAGAGUUAAACAGUAUGUGAAAUUGUUGAAAGGGAAGCGCUUGCAACCAGACUUGCGAGUGACGGUUCCCCCGGCCUCCUGGCCGGGCUAUUCCGUCACCUCCAGGCCAGCAUCGGUUUGGGUGGUCGGUCAAAGACCCCGGGAAUGUAUCCACCUCCGGGUCGACUUAUAGCCCGGGGUGCAAUGCGGCCCACCCGGACCGAGGAACGCGCUCCGGCUCGGAUGCUGGCGUAAUGGUUGCAAGCGGCCCGUCUUGAAACACGGACCAAGGAGUCUAACAUCUAUGCGAGUGUUUGGGUGUCAAACCCCUACGCGGAAUGAAAGUGAACGGAGGUAAGAACCCUUCGGGGCGCAUUAUCGACCGAUCCUGAUGUCUUCGGAUGGAUUUGAGUAAGAGCAUAGCUGUUGGGACCCGAAAGGUACGUUGCUCCCCUCACAUCCAUCCCUCUUGUAUAUGCUAACUUGUCCACAGAUGGUGAACUAUGCCUGAAUAGGGUGAAGCCAGAGGAAACUCUGGUGGAGGCUCGCAGCGGUUCUGACGUGCAAAUCGAUCGUCAAAUUUGGGCAUAGGGGCGAAAGUGAGUCACAUGACGCCCCCCGGAGAGAGAUGUAGCUAACGUAAAUAGGACCAAUCGAACCAUCGUUGCCAGGUGGUUGAUUUCCCAACUUUGAGUUGGGUUAGUCUGAUACUAGGUAUUGGGCGACGUCGUCAGUCUUCGGGGAUGUCCUUAUGGCUAUCCGAAGCCGUCCUUAAGGUUAGGACGGUUCACAGACUAGACAGCGACGGCCGGAGCCUUUUUGACCGGGCACGGUGAUUAUAUAGUCGAGUAAAGUUAUUGGAUCUUGCGAGAAUUCUGUAGCUUUUGAACGCUGGUAGCUGGUUCCUGUCGAAGUUUCCCUCAGGAUAGCAGUAACGUUUUCAGUUUUAUGAGGUAAAGCGAAUGAUUAGAGGCCUUGGGGUUGAAACAACCUUAACCUAUUCUCAAACUUUAAAUAUGUAAGAAGUCCUUGUUUCUUAACUGAAC